rnacentral:tRNA from 1 species
GGGCCUGUAGCUCAGUUGGUUAGAGCAGUGGACUCAUAAUCCAUUGGUCCUCGGUUCGAGUCCGAGCGGGCCUA